GGUCCAGACUUUGAUCAUGGCUCAGGAUGAACGCUAGCUACAGGCUUAACACAUGCAAGUCGAGGGGCAGCAUGGUCUUAGCUUGCUAAGGCCGAUGGCGACCGGCGCACGGGUGAGUAACACGUAUCCAACCUGCCGUCUACUCUUGGACAGCCUUCUGAAAGGAAGAUUAAUACAAGAUGGCAUCAUGAGUUCACAUGUUCACAUGAUUAAAGGUAUUCCGGUAGACGAUGGGGAUGCGUUCCAUUAGAUAGUAGGCGGGGUAACGGCCCACCUAGUCUUCGAUGGAUAGGGGUUCUGAGAGGAAGGUCCCCCACAUUGGAACUGAGACACGGUCCAAACUCCUACGGGAGGCAGCAGUGAGGAAUAUUGGUCAAUGGGCGAGAGCCUGAACCAGCCAAGUAGCGUGAAGGAUGACUGCCCUAUGGGUUGUAAACUUCUUUCAUAAAGGAAUAAAGUCGGGUAUGCAUACCCGUUUGCAUGUACUUUAUGAAUAAGGAUCGGCUAACUCCGUGCCAGCAGCCGCGGUAAUACGGAGGAUCCGAGCGUUAUCCGGAUUUAUUGGGUUUAAAGGGAGCGUAGAUGGAUGUUUAAGUCAGUUGUGAAAGUUUGCGGCUCAACCGUAAAAUUGCAGUUGAUACUGGAUAUCUUGAGUGCAGUUGAGGCAGGCGGAAUUCGUGGUGUAGCGGUGAAAUGCUUAGAUAUCACGAAGAACUCCGAUUGCGAAGGCAGCCUGCUAAGCUGCAACUGACAUUGAGGCUCGAAAGUGUGGGUAUCAAACAGGAUUAGAUACCCUGGUAGUCCACACGGUAAACGAUGAAUACUCGCUGUUUGCGAUAUACAGCAAGCGGCCAAGCGAAAGCGUUAAGUAUU
rnacentral:rRNA from 1 species